rnacentral:rRNA from 1 species
CCCUUAGAUGUUCUGGGCCGCACGCGCGCUACACUGAAUGGAUCAACGUGUUUUCCCUUCCCGAGAGGGACGGGUAACCCGCUGAACCCCAUUCGUGGUAGGGAUCGGAGCUUGCAAUUGUUCUCCGUGAACCAGGAAUUCCCAGUAAGCGCAAGUCAUAAGCUUGCGUUGAUUACGUCCCUGCCCUUUGUACACACCGCCCGUCGCUACUACCGAUUGAGUGAUCCGGUGAAUAAUUCGGACUGCAGCAGUGUUCAGUUCCUGAACGUUGCAGCGGAAAGUUUAGUGAACCUUAUCACUUAGAGGAAGGAGAAGUCGUAACA